ensembl:lincRNA Gm15221 predicted gene 15221
GCCCAAAAAUGCUAACACUCACUGCUGUCCUGCGAGAGGGCUGGGAGAAGAGGGCUCUUGACGGCUGACACAAGAGCAACAAGCAUUCCGUAGAAACCACACUUCAGCUGGUGCAUGUUGAUCUUCUGGACCAAGUGUAUAAAAACCUCUCGCCUACCACCUGACACUAAGGGGCAUAGCACAAGGAGAAGACGGGAUGGCCUCAAGAUUUUCAGUGUGCAAAAACCCCAUUGUUUAUUCCAUGUUCUUUUUCCCCGAGCGGUCUCUCAUCAGAACUAAGAGCUCGUCAUUCUUCCCAAUCAGUGUGUGAUCCAUAAAUGUGGAGAGUGCUGGCCUACCUCAUUUUGCUCAUGACUGGCAAGGUUUACUUGAAAAGCUCUUAGGAGCACCCAUGAAUAAACAAGAAUACAAAGU